rnacentral:misc_RNA from 1 species
GAUGAAGAACGCAGCGAAAUGCGAUACGUAAUGUGAAUUGCAAAUUCAGUGAAUCAUCGAGUCUUUGAACGCACAUUGCGCCCCCUGGUAUUCCGGGGGGCAUGCCUGUCCGAGCGUCAUUGCUGCCCUCAAGCACGGCUUGUGUGUUGGGCCCCGUCCUCCGAUCCCGGGGGACGGGCCCGAAAGGCAGCGGCGGCACCGCGUCCGGUCCUCGAGCGUAUGGGGCUUUGUCACCCGCUCUGUAGGCCCGGCCGGCGCUUGCCGAUCAACCCAAAUUUUUAUCCAGGUUGACCUCGGAUCAGGUAGGGAUACCCGCUAAACUUAAGCAUAUCAAUAAGCGGAGGA